rnacentral:rRNA from 1 species
UACGUAGGUGACAAGCGUUGUCCGGAUUUACUGGGCGUAAAGAGCGCGCAGGCGGUCGAUCAAGUCGAGUGUGAAAGCCCCCGGCUCAACUAGGGAGGGUCAUUCGAUACUGAUCGACUCGAAGGCAGGAGAGGGUAGUGGAAUUCCCGGUGUAGUGGUGAAAUGCGUAGAUAUCGGGAGGAACACCAGUGGCGAAGGCGACUACCUGGCCUGUUCUUGACGCUGAGGCGCGAAAGCUAGGGGAGCAAACGGG